AGAAAUACAGGAAUUGAUAUAACAUAGAAGCUGCCAGCUUGGAGCACAGGGCAUUGCAACAGGAUUAAGUUGAGAUAGAGGAGUAGACAAGGGGAAAGAAAUCAAAAGGAGAGGGGACUUCUAGUGCCUAUGAGAAGUGGAACUCUGGGAAGAUGUAGAGAUUCAGAGAAAUUCUUCUGGCCUCCAAAUUCUAAGCCUCGAUCAGCACAUCAGUAUUUCUCUCAAUAUUUUAUCAUAACAAAAACUUGG
rnacentral:lncRNA from 1 species